AUCACCUGGAAAUCUUGUUAAAAUGCGGAUUCUGAUUCACUAGACGUGAGGCUGAGCCCGAGAUUCUGUAUUUCUAACAAGCUCCCAGGUGUUGCUGA
rnacentral:pre_miRNA from 1 species